rnacentral:rRNA from 1 species
UCCCAGUUCGGAUUGUAGUCUGCAACCCGACUACAUGAAGCUGGAAUCGCUAGUAAUCGCGGAUCAGAAUGCCGCGGUGAAUACGUUCCCGGGUCUUGUACACACCGCCCGUCACACCAUGGGAGUCGGAAAUGCCCGAAGUCUGUGACCCAACCGCGAGGAGGGAGCAGCCGAAGGCAGGUCGGAUGACUGGGGUGAAGUCGUAACAAGGUACC